rnacentral:lncRNA from 1 species
AUGGGAGAUUUUUUCUUUUUAUCCUUUGUAUGUAGGAUAUCUAAGAUAUGCUGAGAAUUGGGCUAAUAUUGGUUGAGAUGAAAGAUUGAAAACCUAAAAACUUCAAUAUUUUAAGAUCAUAAGAUGGUCCCAACCUCUCAUUUGAUUCAGUUGAUAAUCAUGUACUAGCAGCCCUGGUUUCAAUAUUAACCUUAAUUCAUGAUUCCACUGAGUUCUCUGAAAAAAUCCAA